rnacentral:ncRNA from 20 species
AUGGGAGAGGUUCGCGAACUCCCUCUAUAAAAAACUAUGAGAAC